GUGCUUAACACAUGCAAGUCGAACGGAAAGGCCCUGCUUGCAGGGUACUCGAGUGGCGAACGGGUGAGUAACACGUGGGUGAUCUGCCCUGCACUUCGGGAUAAGCCUGGGAAACUGGGUCUAAUACCGGAUAGGACCAUCGUUUAGUGUCGGUGGUGGAAAGUUUUUCGGUGCAGGAUGAGCUCGCGGCCUAUCAGCUUGUUGGUGGGGUAAUGGCCUACCAAGGCGUCGACGGGUAGCCGGCCUGAGAGGGUGGACGGCCACAUUGGGACUGAGACACGGCCCAGACUCCUACGGGAGACAGCAGUGGGGAAUAUUGCACAAUGGGCGCAAGCCUGAUGCAGCGACGCCGCGUGGGGGAUGAAGGCCUUCGGGUUGUAAACUCCUUUCAACCAUGACGAAGCGUAAGUGACGGUAGUGGUAGAAGAAGCACCGGCUAACUACGUGCCAGCAGCCGCGGUAAUACGUAGGGUGCGAGCGUUGUCCGGAAUUACUGGGCGUAAAGAGCUCGUAGGUGGUUUGUCGCGUCGUCUGUGAAAUUCCGGGGCUUAACUCCGGGCGUGCAGGCGAUACGGGCAUAACUUGAGUGCUGUAGGGGAGACUGGAAUUCCUGGUGUAGCGGUGAAAUGCGCGGAUAUCAGGAGGAACACCGAUGGCGAAGGCAGGUCUCUGGGCAGUAACUGACGCUGAGGAGCGAAAGCAUGGGUAGCGAACAGGAUUAGAUACCCUGGUAGUCCAUGCCGUAAACGGUGGGCGCUAGGUGUGGGGGUCUUCCACGACUUCUGUGCCGUAGCUAACGCAUUAAGCGCCCCGCCUGGGGAGUACGGCCGCAAGGCUAAAACUCAAAUGAAUUGACGG
rnacentral:rRNA from 1 species